GCACCUGGAGGCCAUUUUAAUAGUCCCCAUUCGAUCGGCUCAGUUUAACUCGAGCAGCACCAUGGGUAGGGUGUGGAAAUUUUUUAAUAAGUUAAAGUGUUCGGCUGCAUGCAACACGUGUUGUUGCACGUACGAUACGUUGAAAGAUGAGCAGUCUCAGGUCGUCAAAUUGCCUAAUGGAGAUAUGAUCGUUAUCUAUGGCUAUGAAAGAAGUUUUAAGGGAUCCUUCGGAUUAGCGAUUCUGUCGUUCUUUACCUUAUUUAUCGGACUAAUAAUUGCAAGUGUUCGUCCAGGUGGAUUGACGCCAUGGUUUUAUCGACGUUCGGCUUUAUCCAGUGCAACAAAAGUCAUGCUGACGCCGAAAUCCUUUUUAAAUGUUCAGCGUGAUAGUGACGGUCGUCGAUGGUUUAUUUGGCUGCACUACCGUUUUAUUUGGUGUGCUCAGUCUGGCAAAUUUAAACGCAUGCGCUGCGUGGAUGAGAUAGGACUGAGAUUUUCCGACAUCCAUGGCUUAGGGAAUGGCCUUGAUCCCACUAACCAUCGUUUAAGAAAGGAGAGCUAUGGCAGCAAUACUACGGAGGUUGCCUAUCCCAGUUUAAUUUCCUUGUUGAUCUCGACAUCGAUGAAACCUUUUCGCCUCUUCUAUUUGGUUGCCAUCGCUACUUGGAUAGUCCAGAAGUACUACAUCUAUGCUGGUCUUAUAGGAUUAGCUGCCGUAGUAGAGGCGGGAUCGAGCGUUUUUCUUCAGUUUCGGCAUCGACUUCGUUUUCAUCGCCUGUCGCUUCUCAAUUGCGAAAUAACGGUUCUCGGUCCUGGUCAUGACAGACGUUUGAUAAUGUCGCAUGAUCUAGUACCAGGGUCAGUCAUUCAAUUGACAUCAAAAGGCAAUAUUACAAUGCCGUGUGAUGCUGUAAUUUUAUCUGGUAGUUGUAUCGCUCGAGAAUCAGUUGCAGCCAAUCCAAAGCACAAGUACCAGCUGCCUAAAUCUAGAAUGGAACUGUACGAUCGGCAAAAACACCGCCAACACACUCUAUUCCGGGGAUCUUCUAUUGUUUUGCAAACUGAAAAAGUGAUUGCUUUAGUUAUCCGAACCGGGUGGAGUACGGAGAACGGCGGUGCCUUUGCAGCCAAAAUGGCUAGUAUUAGCUGCCCGUCGAUUUUUGAUCGCCAUCGUGACCACCUGUUUUUACUUCUCGGCUUAACAGGGUUAUGCUCUGCCGCAUAUGGAAUUUACGUCAGACAUUCUUCACUUGAUAUUCCGAAUCUUAUCCUUACGGGAAUGAGUUUAAUCGUCAUUUGCCUCCCACCGUUAUUUUCUCCUGCGCUAUUGCUUACCAGUCUUUAUCCGCUUGUCCGUCUUUAUCAGGAUGGAUUCCGUUUUAAUUCUUUUGAUGAACCUAGUUCCGUUUUAAAUCGUGUAGGUGCCACCGACACCGUCUGUUUGCUCGAGAAUGCACUUCUGCGAGAUGCAGCUACAAAAUUGCUAAAAGUUUCAUCCACCAGGUACGAUGAGUGGACACGUGAUCCGCAGCUAACCUUAUGCAUGGCCUCCUGCGUCAACCAUUUCACUCCGAAUGACUUUCAGGUGUUUUCGACUGCGGCAUGGAAAAUUAUUACCAACCAGAACAGCCACAGAGUGCAAUCGGUUUGCAAUGAAUAUGAAAGCUAUCGCGUAACCAAAAUCUAUGCCGAUGAGACCCAUUCUUCAUUACCAUUCGUCUUGGUCAGAGCUGACCCAAUUGAAUCGGUAAACGCGACUUCGUGGUAUUUCAUACGAGGCCCAUAUUUAAGGGUUGUGGAUUUCGCCGAAGAGUAUUCGUUUGAACAUAAAGAAGAACAGCUUGAGUUGGUAGCAUUUGCUGGACGCCAACUGACUGAAACGGAGAAGUUGUCAACUCUCGAACCCGACUUAAGUCUUCUGUUGCGGAAAUUUCAGCUGUUAGGCCUAGCCUCAGUGGAUUGUAACAUAUCAAAAGAUUCCAGUGCAGUUGUUUCACUACUUCGCUCAGCCAACAUAAGAACCUUGAUGAUAUCAAAGAGGGACGUGAGAGAAGCCGUCCAUCUGGCCCGCAACGCUGGGAUUAUCCUCAACAAAGAACCUGUGGCUCAGAUAGAAAUUCCGUCAAUGGAAGGAUUAUAUCCUCCAUCGCUGAGAGUCAUUGAUCUUCCAGAAACUGGUUCAGGAAUUGAUCUUGAAGAAAACAGCAUUCCGCGUAAGGCCCACGUUGUUCUGACUGGUGACAUGUUGGAUGCAUUGCUAGAAUCAUUUCCAGAAAUGGUUGAUCAGAUUAUUGGCCGUGUAACUGUGUUUGCCUCUACAGACACCCUCCAAACGAACCGUUUCUUGGAAAAACUGAAUGGACUGAAUCGCAAAAUGCAUAUUUGCGUUUGAGUUGCUCUGCAUGGCCACCGCAGGUUUGCAGACUGUAGAAACCGGAGAUACAACAAUUGGAUUUGUUUUCUUCUUACGCCAAGAUUUGCAGUACUGGAAAGACGUCUCCCAAAUAAACGUGAUGGUAGCAACGGCCAAUCCAGUGAUGGUAACACAGAACAGGCCAAGAAAGUCACCGAGUUGCAUCGCUCGUGACGUAUAACCUGUAAUGGAGCUGGGUUUUUUCCAGAAAAACUCGGAUGUCGUGAAAAUUCUAGAAUUCCCACUUGGUCAAUCAGCCUUAAUCUAUAAACUCAGUUACGCUCGGUUGAAAACUGAAGUGAGAGACGAGUUCUUAGCAAAGGCAAAUCCGUAUUCAACAGUUAAGUAGCUUUUAUCAGUUAUCAGAAAAUAGCAUUGCGUCACAUUUUUUGCUUGAUUAAGACGAUAAUUUGUUAGCAUUACUUCAAGAAGCAAAUCAAAUGGACCAAACCAUAUGUACCCUGUAGAAAAACCAUAAUGUCGCUAUCAGCUUUUCACCCAUGAAUAGUAAUAAUUCCAACCUCUUUUUGUUAGGCUAAGAGCAGCUUCAAUGGAAGCUACAAGACUUCCUCUGCCCGUUUCUAGAUGUUCGCUGAGCACUUCUAAACUUACGGCACUCGUCUGAUUUGUCUGGAAAGUACCAAUUCUUCAAAUGAUGGUAUUGGUUUGUUGCUCAACGUUAGCCAUUUCACAUCCUUGUACGCUGACCACGAUAGCUCGCGAGGAUGCUGAAGCGACCGCUCUCGAUAAGGCCGUGCCAGAGAAGCAGUCAAAUUCGCUGUGUAGAACGUCGUUAAAAGAAGACCAACUAUCCACCAUGUGGCCAUCAGAACGCGUUGGGAGUCUGAGAGCAAUAUUUUCAGUUAAAAAUAGCAUAAAUAAUAUGAAAAAGCAAUGUCAAUUUUUACGAAUUGAAAUGCGAAGUUUGUGAUCUUGCCGAAACCUUGGAAACGUUCAAUGUAAUUAGUAAGACAAA
rnacentral:misc_RNA from 1 species